UGGGGAAUUUUGCGCAAUGGGCGAAAGCCUGACGCAGCAACGCCGCGUGCGGGAUGAAGGCCUUCGGGUUGUAAACCGCUUUCAGCAGGGAUGAAACUGACAGUACCUGCAGAAGAAGCCCCGGCUAACUACGUGCCAGCAGCCGCGGUAAUACGUAGGGGGCAAGCGUUAUCCGGAUUCAUUGGGCGUAAAGAGCGCGUAGGCGGAUCGUUAAGUCAGAUGUGAAAACCGGGGGCUCAACCCGCGGCCUGCAUCUGAAACUGGCGGUCUUGAGUCUGGUAGAGGAGUGUGGAAUUCCCAGUGUAGCGGUGAAAUGCGCAGAUAUUGGGAGGAACACCAGUGGCGAAGGCGGCACUCUGGGCCACGACUGACGCUGAGGCGCGAAAGCUAGGGGAGCAAACA
rnacentral:rRNA from 1 species